UUGACAAUCCAUUUGAUGAAACAUGAGCAGCAACUCACGUUUUGCAAUAUCCCCUAUAACUCACGUUUUGCAAUAUCCCCCAUAAUUUUAGUAUACCAUAAUUUAUAUAGCAGCCCUUUAUGGAGGCUAUAUAUAUAUUCUUUCUAAGGCAUUUAUUAGAUGAAGACUUUACAUCAACUUUUUAAUUGUGGGAAGGCCAUACACGUAUUGGUAAUCAUCCUAAUUGGAGAAAUUCCAUACAAGGAAAUUGGCAGUAACGUUUGAGGAAAAAAAAAAUUACGCUGAAGCAAAAAUGCGAAGAACGACAUAAAGGUUACCCCCGCGUUGGUUUUCUCCGGGUAAUAGCAAAUCAGAAAUUUCUUCAAAGCAAAGUAAGGUGGAAGAAGAUUAUUUUUUUGCCAUAUUAGGCUAAAAGAGCGACGAGACGAACGGGUUACGAAUAGCCGCUAACAGGUACAGAUGCACAGUUUGGUGAUCCACCAGUUUAGGACACCCUCUUCUGCUGUUUGGAGUGCUCCUCUUAUUCCGGAGCCUACAUUUUGGUAUAUAUACUUGUUUGAUGCAUAUGUAUAUAUUUGUUCAGGGGUACGGCGGGGCCCUGUUCCGCCAUAUGAUCCGUUUGGUCUGUUUAGAGGUCUGUAGACGUAUUUGUGGGUGUGUGUGCCUACUUUUGUACAAAUGUGUUUGUAUGACCCUGUUCGUUAUGGCAGCCUUGUCGGCGUGCACUUUGUAUAUGUUUUGGGCCGUUGCGCCAUCUGUUAGCCUUGUCGGCUUUUGAUACAUCUGUUAGCCUUGUCGGCUUUUGAUACUUUUGAUAGCCUUGUCGGCUUUUGAUACAUUUGAUAGCCUUGCCGGCUUUUCGAUAUAAGUAUAUGUAUAUGUUUGCGCUGAAAUGUGUCCGAUACAGUUUGACAUAGUUUGAGACGGCAUAUAGUGUUUAUGGCCGUAUAUGCUAU